ensembl:snRNA U4 U4 spliceosomal RNA
AGCUUUGCGCAGUGGCAGUAUCGUAGCCAAUGAGGUUUAUCCGAGGCGCGAUUAUUGCUAAUUGAAAACUUAAAAAAUAAAUAAAUAAAAUAAAAUUUGCUGAAUAGAACUUGUGUUU